rnacentral:tRNA from 1 species
CGCGGGGUGGAGAAGCGGUCAUCUCACGAGGCUCAUAACCUUGGAAUCGCUGGUUCGAAUCCAGCCCCCGCAA